rnacentral:rRNA from 1 species
AUUGAACGCUGGCGGCAGGCUUAACACAUGCAAGUCGAACGAUGAGUCUCUAGCUUGCUAGAGAUGAUUAGUGGCGGACGGGUGAGUAACAUUUAGGAAUCUACCUAGUAGUGGGGGAUAGCUCGGGGAAACUCGAAUUAAUACCGCAUACGACCUACGGGUGAAAGGGGGCGCAAGCUCUUGCUAUUAGAUGAGCCUAAAUCAGAUUAGCUAGUUGGUGGGGUAAAGGCCCACCAAGGCGACGAUCUGUAACUGGUCUGAGAGGAUGAUCAGUCACACCGGAACUGAGACACGGUCCGGACUCCUACGGGAGGCAGCAGUGGGGAAUAUUGGACAAUGGGGGCAACCCUGAUCCAGCCAUGCCGCGUGUGUGAAGAAGGCCUUUUGGUUGUAAAGCACUUUAAGCAGGGAGGAGAAGCUAAUGGUUAAUACCCAUUAGAUUAGACGUUACCUGCAGAAUAAGCACCGGCUAACUCUGUG